GGCCAAAGAGCCCACGGUGCAGCUGGCUGGCUGCUUCUGCUUCCCAGGAGAGGAGGAUCCUGUCCUGGGGACUGUUUCCUCUUUCCUGAACCCUCAACCCUCUCUGUGUCCAGCUGGGAGUGUGCUCAGAGGGCAGCUUGCACAAUCUCAGGCCAGGAAAGGCCUAGCCGUGGGACAGCCCCCACUGGGCCAAGGACCUGAGGACUUGAGCAGCUGAAGUGGGACCCAGGGCCACAGUGAAGCCUUCUCCCGGGGAAAUAGGAAGAGAGGCUGGUGUUCUCCUCCAGCAAGGCCAAACCUGUCUCCCUAGCCUUUGGGGAGAGUCCCUGGGAGCCAGCUCUCCAAUGUGAAUGGUCAUGACGUGAGCAAGGUCUUGAAAUGUUCUUCUGUGGUGGCCUUCCCACAUGUGUCGUGUGAAGACGGGCGACAGGCAGCAUGGUGGCCCAAAGUGAAGAGACACAGAGGUAGACGAACCAGCGGUCUGGAGCGAAGUCGGGCUGUGUGAGCCUGCACCUGCCAGACCUGUGCCCCCAGGAUACCCUGUGGGGUUACCGUAGCUUCCAAAUGCUGGCAUUACAGCUGUAUGCUACCAUGUCCAUCUGGCAACUUGAUCAUAGUGAAACCGGACCCUACUGUUUCCUGUCAGCUGUCUUCAACGGAUGCUUCUCCUCAUGGUCCAAGGUGACUGCUGGUGCUCCCACCGUUAAGCAAGACAGAGUAAAGGUCAAUGCAACUCAUGCCCAGCUUUGGAACAUUUCCUUAAAUUGCAUACUUCGUGCUUUUUUUUCUGUCAAACUAGCUAGAAGUUAGUCACGAGGUCUUAUGUAAUUGUUCUAAUAGAAAAUGUGCCCGGGUAAAUCUUGGAGAUUCACUCCUGAGCCCAUCCAGUUCCCCUACCUAGAUUAAGAGCUCCAAGCAGUUUGCCAGAAUUUGUGCAGAGCCUCCAGCCUCCUCCAGAGGGUGCCAGAAACCUCUGCUUCCUCAGCCUCCAGAUUUCCGGUGUUUUUUUUAGCUUCAGAGGUGUGGGGCUCUUUGUUGGUUAGAUUUUUUUGAAGGCUGAGCGCUGGUGUGGCAGCUGAGCUCUCACAUUUGGAUCCAAAGCAGGAGACGGAGAGAACUAACUGGAAAACGCAUGAGUCUUUUGGAACCUCAAAACCCGCCCCCAAUAGCACGCCUCCUCCAGCAAGGCCACACCUCCUAAUCCUCUCCAAACAGCCCCAACUGGAGACCAAAUAUUCAAAUACCAGAGACUUAUGGGGAACAUGUCAUUCAAACCAACCCAAUGACAUACAAUCGGGAGUAGAGAAAACCAGACCCAAACAGGCCUGCAAAGAAAGCUACCAUCGGGCGGGAAGAGCGCCUCGGGAUGCUCUUCUGGCAGUUGGCCCUGACCAUUUUGCAUAAAGAUGAGCUGGUCACCAGACCAAUACUAGACAGUGAAGGAGAAAGAGUAGAGAGAGAAGGAUUCUGGAAUGAACGGUGAGCUGGGUAUAGAAGUGUACUCCUGUAACUCCAGCACUCAGAGGUUGGAGGCAGGCGGAUUGGGAGUUCAAACAAGCAAGCAUGAUAGUUCGUGCCUAGUUGAGAUUUUGAGACCAGCUGAGGGGCUGGGGGGCAGAGACAGAGAGAGACAGAGAGAGAGACAGAGACAGAGAAUCAUGGGCUUGAGGUGUGCAUGUACAAGGUCCUAGAUGUACAGCACUACACAUACACACACACACACACACACACACACACACACACACACACAGAACCUGGUGUGGCCCUGGCAGCAUUUUGAGCAUGGUACAUGGAGGACAUGGACCUCUGAACCAGCUUGUAGUAUCAUCUCCGCUCACAGGAAGCUGAAUCACACAGUGGUAAAGAAACUGGAGCUGGAGGUUUGUGCAGCAGCCGGGUGGGGAUGGAAUGUGGACACAGGCAGCCAUUUCCUGAGCCCAGCUCUGAACCACCCAGCUACACUGCCUGCUUAAAAAAAUAAAAAUAAAAAACCUGUAAACAAAAGGUGAACAAGCUGAUGCAAACAGAUAAUACGAAUUACAAAAAGGAGUGUGUGAAAAGGGGAAGUUUUAAUGUUACUAUAUUCACAAAACAGGAAAGCAGCUAUGGAAGAGAGAGCAAACGCAAGCCGUGGAGAUUUUAAUUAGAAUAGCUAAAAUAAAAGGAAAUUAAAUAGAAAGAAAAUGAAAUUCUGUGGUUAGGGUUUCCAAAAUUAAUCCACGCUUCCUUUUUCUAAUUGUAUUAUUAGCAUGCACUUGUGUGUGUGUGUGUGUGUGUGUGUGUGUGGUGUGUGUGUGUGUGUGUGUAUGUGUGUGUGUGUGUGUGUGUAUGUGUGUGUGUGUGUGCCUGUGAGUUCAGAGGACAUCUUUGUGGUGUUAGUUCACUC